AAAAAACUGGCUGCAGGUUAUUAUGAGAAAGAACUGGCUGCAGGUCGUUAUGAGAACUGGCUAUCUCUACUCCUGUCCCCCCGCCUCCACCGGGCAGCGGGAGU